rfam:Salmo salar isolate Sally breed double haploid chromosome ssa25, whole genome shotgun sequence.
UGUGCACAAAUGUCUAAGUCGCUUUGGAUAAAAGCAUCUGCUAAAUGGCAUAUA